rnacentral:rRNA from 1 species
AGGAACCUUACUUAUUCUUGACAUCCUAAGAAUUUGUAAGAAAUCACUUGGUGCCUUGGGGAGCGCAGAAACAGGUGCACAUGGCUUUCGUCAUGGUGUUUGAAAUGUUGGGUUAAUUCCCGUAACGAGCGCAACCCUUGUCUUUAUUUGCCAGCGGGUAAUGCCAGAACUUUAAGGAGACUGCCGGUGACAAACCGGAGGAAGUGGGGGACGACGUCAAGUCUUCAUGGCCCUUACGAGUAGGGCUACACACGUGCUACAAUGGCCGGUACAAAGGGUUGCGAGCUCGCGAGAGUCAGCUAAUCCCGAAAAGCCGGUCUCAGUCCGGAUGGGAGUCUGCAACUCGACUCCGUGAAGUGGGAAUCGCUAGUAAUCGUGAAUCAGAAUGUCACGGUGAAUACGUUCCCGGGCUUUUACACCCCCCCCG